CCGGCAGUAUACAAAAACCACAUGGAAAUCAGCAGAAGGGCGGAGCCGGAGUGAUGAAAAGCUGUAGAUCUAGCAUAGGCUUGCUUUACUAUUCUGUCUGAGUAAAAAGGACAUUCUGUAUACAUACUAGUAGUGUCAACAUGGAUCAGCAAUUCUACUGGUAUAAUGCUAGCACUGGGAAUAACAUUGAUACACAGAAUUCAAAUGCAUAUAUAUUUCGUCCCAACAGUUCAAUGACAUUUCCUGUUGACAGUGGUGAUGAUUAUGCUGAAAUUACAUCCUGUUACAGGUGAGUCAUUGUCUGAGGUUCAGUGGCAUAUCUGAGGGGGACCUACAGGAGCUUGGGCCCCCAUAAUUUUUAUUGAUAAUGAUAUUCAUUGUUUGUUUUAUUACCUACCACCUGGUAAUAAAGUGAACCACUCUGUAAUCAUUUACAAUACAUUGCACAGCAGCAAUCAGGCAAAAACAAAACAAUCGUUUUAUAUUAAUAAUUGUUGAAAAUGUAAGAAUUUGAUACUUUAAAAUAUGCAAAAUGAAAAUAAUCUAUUUUGGUACACUAUACAAGCACCAAAAAGGGUGUGUUCAAAAUUUCAGCACGCUUUGCGUGCCACUUGCCUCUGGGCCCCCUCAUCAUUUCCUUCCCAGCUACACUCCUGCUGAGGUUAGACAAGUAUUCUCAUCAUGGGUGUCUUAACUCAAUGUUAGGUUAUUAGACUCUACAAGAACAUACCAACAAUUGAGCUGGAGUACACUGUA
rnacentral:lncRNA from 1 species